AACUGAACAGUCUUUAUAAUGUAUAUUCACAGAGUGUACUAAUUUUAAAAAGUAAUUUGUAGGCGCCUAUAAAUGUAUUUGUGUCGCAAGGUGAACUCACAAGGUCAGCAGCUGAACUCAUUGGUGUUGACACCCCGGAUGAUAGCGUAUUGUCCCCAGUGACAUGUCCACAAGGCCGAGCGGUUAUACUCUCCACCUGCCCUGUGGGGGAUGACAGGUACCUUUUAGGCCUUAGUUAAGCUGAUCUCCCACAGGCGAUGUUCACCACGACUGGAAGACAAAUGAUCCUCAUGGGAAAUCCGACGGAGGUGUGUUUUGCAGCACCUCAGAUGUACAGCACACCUGAAGAAGGCGCUGGCAGGGAGUCUGCGUCCUUCUGCUUAACACGCGGCAGCUGUGCUGAGGGAAGGUGAGGAAAGACUGUGCUAAUUUGAGGGCUGUUAGUUAGCUUGAGCGCAGACUGCUAGCUCCAUGCAUGUUCACAGACAGUGCUGACAAGUGCAUGAGUGAAUCUGAUGUCUUACUUAUGAUGAGCAUGAUCUUUCUAUACCACAAUACCAGUCAGAAAUUGGGACACACAUGGCUGAAUUUCUUUUUCAUAAAGUCUGUAAGUAGUGUAGCUGGAUAUAUGAAAUAUAUUUCAAAAUAUGUAAUUAACUGUACAAAUGUCUUUAAAAAAGUGUAAAAAGUAAAGUCUAAAAUGAUAAUAUUAAUAAAAAAUUAUACUAAAUAUUACU